rnacentral:rRNA from 1 species
GUAAACUGGAGGAAGGUGGGGAUGACGUCAAAUCAUCAUGCCCCUUAUGACCUGGGCUACAAACGUGAUACAAUGGCUGAACAAAGGGCAGCGAAGCAGUGAUGUGAAGCGAAACCCAAAAAAGCAGUCUCAGUUCGGAUUGAAGUCUGCAACUCGACUUCAUGAAGUCGGAAUCGCUAGUAAUCGCGAAUCAGAACGUCGCGGUGAAUACGUUCUCGGGUUU